rnacentral:rRNA from 1 species
GACGAACCGAGCGAACGUUGUUCGGAAUCACUGGGCUUAAAGGGCGCGUAGGCGGGCUGCCAAGUCCGUGGUGAAAUCCCCCGGCUCAACCGGGGAAGGGCCUCGGAUACUGGCGGCCUCGAGGGGGUAGGGCGUGCGGAACUGUGGGUGGAGCGGUGAAAUGCGUUGAUAUCCACAGGAACUCCGGUGGCGAAGGCGGCACGCUGGACCCCAUCUGACGCUGAGGCGCGAAAGCCAGGGGA